rnacentral:misc_RNA from 1 species
AGAGGGAAAACAAGACAUGACGAAUUUUCAAAGGGCCUAAUAAAAAUGAAAAUGAAAAGUUCCUCAAUAAUAUUUUUCCUAUGUAGAAGUUGCAUAAUGAUCCUGAAUGGAAAAUUUUAUGAGAAAAAUGCCUAAUGAUCUCUAAUAUCUAAACUUUUCUUCCGUUUUCAAUUCUCUUCAGCACUUCUAAUCAUAUCAAUUUGUUCCAUAAGAUUUUGAUUUGGUAACAAUUAAAUCCAUUUGGGAACAAGAGUGCUUAAUUCAUGGCAGAUGUUGGUGAGGCAAGCUGAGGUGAAGAAAGGUUGACUAGGAAAGUUUUCUUACUAAUGUGGUUCAAAGCCAGCAGGUCUGGGAAUGUUGGAAUCCCAAUCCCUACAUUAAAAGGAUUAU